CUACGGGUCGCUGCAGUGGGGAAUAUUGCACAAUGGGGGAAACCCUGAUGCAGCAACGCCGCGUGGAGGAUGACGCAUUUCGGUGUGUAAACUCCUUUUAUUUAGGAAGAAAUUUGACGGUACUAAAUGAAUAAGCACCGGCUAACUCCGUGCCAGCAGCCGCGGUAAUACGGAGGGUGCAAGCGUUACUCGGAAUCACUGGGCGUAAAGGGCGCGUAGGCGGUUUGAUAAGUUGGAUGUGAAAUCCUAUGGCUUAACCAUAGAACUGCAUCCAAAACUGUCAGACUAGAGUGAGGAGAGGUGAAUGGAAUUAGUGGUGUAGGGGUAAAAUCCGUAGAGAUCACUAGGAAUACUCAUAGCGAAGGCGAUUCACUGGAACUUUACUGACGCUGAGGCGUGAAAGCAUGGGGAGCAAACAGGAUUAGAUACCCCGGUAGUC
rnacentral:rRNA from 1 species